rnacentral:rRNA from 1 species
UACGGGGGGAGCAAGCGUUGUUCGGAUUUACUGGGCGUAAAGGGCGCGUAGGCGGUCAGCACAAGUCAGUUGUGAAAUCUCCGGGCUUAACUCGGAAAGGUCAACUGAUACUGUGCGACUAGAGUGCGGAAGGGGCAACUGGAAUUCUCGGUGUAGCGGUGAAAUGCGUAGAUAUCAAGAGGAACACCUGCGGCGAAGGCGGGUUGCUGGGCCGACACUGACGCUGAGGCGCGAAAGCCAGGGGAGCGAAACGGG